rnacentral:lncRNA from 1 species
UUUUAUCCAGCAAAGCUGAUUCAUGAAAAUUAGAUUUGUGAAAUUCGAUCAGGAAAAAUGAGUUUUUGGGCCCACAACUUUUGGUAUGAUUUUUAGAGCACAAUUCUAAUUUUCUAUAGGUCACAUCUUUUAUCCAAUUGAGCUCAAAAUUUUUGUGGUUUGUCCAUGUGUGCUUCUUGUUGAGAGAAAAAUAUCAAAAGAGCAAAAGCAAAAAAAGUUUGUACAAAAAUAGAAAAAAAUGUAAAAGAAAAGAGAAG